UUAGCAGACAGGUAAGCUAGUGCGCCGGUGGAGGCUAGCGGGCAGGCAAGUUAGCGCGCCGGAGGAGGCUAGUGGGCAGGCAAGUUAGCGCGCCGGAGGAGGCUAACUGGCAGGCCAAGAUAGCACGCUAGCAGAGGCUAGUAGGC